rnacentral:rRNA from 1 species
GAUGAACGCUGGCGGCGUGCCUAAUACAUGCAAGUCGAGCGAAUGGAUUAAGAGCUUGCUCUUAUGAAGUUAGCGGCGGACGGGUGAGUAACACGUGGGUAACCUGCCCAUAAGACUGGGAUAACUCCGGGAAACCGGGGCUAAUACCGGAUAACAUUUUGAACCGCACGGUUCGAAAUUGAAAGGCGGCUUCGGCUGUCACUUAUGGAUGGACCUGCGUCGCAUUAGCUAGUUGGUGAGGUAACGGCUCACCAAGGCAACGAUGCGUAGCCGGCCUGAGAGGGUGAUCGGCCACACUGGGACUGAGACACGGCCCAGACUCCUACGGGAGGCAGCAGUAGGGAAUCUUCCGCAAUGGACGAAAGUCUGACGGAGCAACGCCGCGUGAGUGAUGAAGGCUUUCGGGUCGUAAAACUCUGUUGUUAGGGAAGAACAAGUGCUAGUUGAAUAAGCUGGCACCUUGACGGUACCUAACCAGAAAGCCACGGCUAACUACGUGCCAGCCGCCGCGGUAA